UCAUCCCUAAAAAGCAAAAAAUAAAAUAAAAUAAAAUUUGAUUGUGAUGAUCAUUGUAAAAAAUAAAUAUACUAGGCACGAUGCUCUUCUGCCUGCAUCCCCCAUUUUUGGUUAGUACACCUGGAUGCACAAGCCUGAGGUGUGGUCAUCGCAAUCCUUCCCUUGUCUCUCUUACUUCCCAGUGACAAACUUAGAAUAUGACCUUAUUAUUGCUUAAAUUAUGGCCUUUCUAUCUCCACUGCUGCUUCCUUAGCUUAGACUUCCAACUGUUGCCUUUGUCUUCUGGGUAAACCCCUAACUCCAGCCUUUCACAUUUCAGGCCAUCUUCCAUUCCACCGAAUGUAAUCAGGCUCUCCUUCCAAGAUAAAAUCCUUCGGUGACUCCACAUUUCUUAUGGACUAAUGUUCAAGCUCCCUUGGGAUCUUGUCCCAGAAAACUAUUUUAAAUUCACUUGCUGCUAUGCCCUCAUCACCUCCCGUGUCUAGUCACCCACCAGUCUCUAAGCACCAGGUUCUCAUAGCUGCAUCUCAGUGUGCACUGCUCUCCUUUCUUGAAAUGUCCUUUGUCACAUUAUGCAUUUGGCAUACUCCUACUCAUCCUUCAAGAUUUAGUGAGAAUGCCACCAACUCUGGGAAAUGGUUUCUGCCAUUUCCAUCAAAGUGUAGCGCUUCUUUUUUCUGUGCCCUCAACCUUUUUUUGUGCCUUUCUCCAGCCUUCUAAUAUAGCACUUAUCACAUUGUUGGGUUUAUUGACUCCCACGUGCAUCUUCCCGAUAGAUGGUGAGGUUGUGAGAAGGAGGGGCAGAGUCUUCUUCAUCUCUUUACCUUGAGGGCCAAGGACAAUACCUGGUACUUAGUAGAUACUCAGAUGAUGCUUGUGAAAUUGGCAAAUUAGCUAAUAAUAACACAGUUGCGGGGCAGAAUCCGCUUCAUCUCUGCAUCUUUGAGGGCCAACCACAAUGCCUGGCACUGAGUAGAUACUUAGAUGAUGCCUGUGAAAUUAGCAAAUUAACUAAAAAUACACACAGUUGCAGGAAAGACUCUUAGAACUAGUCAAAACCCCUGAAAACCCACAUUCCCAAAUAGAGGCUCUUAUUAAAGUAGUAAAAUUCUAGUCACUCUGGCCAUAGCUGUCCCCAGUCCAGUGAACCAUAUGCAUCCCCCUGGGGAAUCUUUCUGCACAGACAGCCUAAAGGCAGACCCAGAAAAGGAAAUGAAACACCUGCUAAUUUACAAACACCUAGGUAUUUUGAAUAGUAAUUAACACAAAGCUCACUAAUAGUUAGGGAGUAAUUAAUAGCUAAAUGUUGGCAUUUAACAAAAUGAUGUUUUUCCCCUUUUCUACCCAAGCAAUGCUUUUAAAUUGAGGAUGCUCAAAAUGGCUUGAAAUGGGAGGAAAUCAUUUCAGACACCACGAGUAUUUAAAAGGUAGUGCUGCUGGUGGGCGUGCUUCAUUGCCAUCAUUAACCACAACGGGAACAGCCAGCAUUUACUGAGUCCCCACCAGCCAAGGCAGAGGCGCAGGAUUGAAGGCAGGCUACUGCAUUCACAAAAAUCUCUCAUAUGAAAACAUAUUACACUUGCAAAGCAAAUGAAUUUGGAGACAGGUGGGUGAUCAUUCAUGAUCCAGAGACCCUGGGCUAUACAAAAGGAUCUCCCACAAGGUUCCUUUAAAUAGGAAACUGCCAGAGAGCACUUACAAUAUUAUUGAGUUUAUAAGGAAUCAAUUAAGAACUAAUUCUUUCAGAAACCAAUCUAUCGCACAACAGGGGUAUAGCUACAUUUAGAAUUGCUGCUCCAAUCUUUGCCUUUCCAUCACCCUUUGUCAGCAACCAUUAUACAACCAAAACCUGUAAAGUAAAAUGCACAGACAGGGUCAGGAGACCUGGGUUUGAAUCUGGCUUUUGGCCAUGCUGCUCCAGCCUCAGUGUUCUCACCUGGAACUGGGGCCAACAGUCUCGGUGGCAAGGAUUAAGAAAGAAUAUGAAUUUGAAAGAGCCCAUGUCAUGGGUUGCUGUUCACUCAUACAUUAGUUCAUUAAGGCUACCCAAACAAAGUACCGCAAACUGAGCAGCUUAAACAACAGAACUGCUUUGUCUCAUAGUUCUGGAGGCUAGAAGUUCAAGAUCAAGGUAUUGGGGGGGGGGUUGGUUACCUCCAAAGGCUGUUCCAUGCCUCUAUCCUAGCUCCCAGUAGUUUACUGAUAAUCUUUGGUGCUCCUUGGCUUCUGCUGCAACACUCCAAUUUCUGCCUUUAUCAUCACACAUCAUUUUCUCUGUGUGUGUGUCCAGUAUGACCCCCUCUUAACUAAUUACAUCUGCAGUGACCCUCUUUCCAAAUAAAGCCACAUUCUGAGAUACUGGUGGUUAGAACUUUAACAUAUGAAUUUUGAGAGAACACUAUUCAGCUCAUAACAACUCAUUAUUGCUCUGGCUUUAAGUCAUUGAAAUGACAGAUAUGUGGUGCUUUUUUCUUGGUAGAUAUUUUGCUUUUCUUGGCUAAGAUGUUGCCAAGUGAAAGGCAUUUUUAUAGAAACAACAGCAAACCACAAAGAGAAGAUCUUGAACAUAGAAAUCAAGACAAAAGGGAAACUUUAAUAAGAGAAAUCAGAUUGGGCAGCAGCUCCAAUAGCAGUUUUCUUUUUCCUGACAGCCUUUUAUCCCUUCCCUCUUAGGAAAAACAGUGCACUCACCAGGGCCUUGGUCACAUCCACCUUGCCACACUGAGGAGUACGAAGGAGGUUUGGCACUCUAUUCUUAUCAUGACUCACUUUUUGCAGGAAGAUGGUUUCUCAGCGGAACCAUCCUUCUGUCAGAUGGAGAAGGCUCUCUGCCUCCAGGGUUCUGCCAAACCGGCCCUAGGAGCAAUGACUUGGUCACUUCCUCCCAAGUGUGGUUUCCAAUAAACUCGACAACAACAACAAAAAGCCAACUGAUGAUGUUGUCCCAUAGAUUGUACUCCCAUUGUAUUGCUGGAAACUUGGAGGUCAGAGGCUGGAAGAAACCAGUUGAGGAGCUAUAAAGGCUAGGACACAUUUGCUUUGUGCUCUGGUCUCCACACAGUGACUUGGAUAUUGGGGUAGACUGAUUGUAGUAAUGACCGAAUUUGUUCCCACCUUCUGUAUCCAGGCCCUCCUGCACUGACUUUUGCCAUAGCCAUUUGUCUUGAUUUGGCCAAAGAGAACAUCUUGAAAAGUGCUUGUACACUGGAGCUGCUUUUGCAACUGCUACCACCAAAAUGAUCAAGCUCAAGCUAGUCUCCUGGAGGAAGAGACACCACAUGAGCAGCAAUGAGCCAUCACAAACAACAAGCUGCCAGCUAACUCUGCAGCUGAUCACGGAUGUAUGAUGCAUGAUGUAUGAUGUAUGUGUCCCGCUGAUAUUAGCAGAGUCUGGCCUCAGGCUGGAAGAACCAUUCAGGUGCAGGAGACCCAAACUGCAGCCUCUCAAAAUUGAAUGGCCACCUACAUCUGUCUAGGACCCACUGAAAACCAAAAACAGUUGUGAAAUGGAGAGACCUUAUGUGCCCAAGUCAACAAGCUAUUGAAGGAGCUGGAUUUUAAUCCCGAUGCUUUGGCUAAUUGGAUGACCUUGGACAGACACUUUGUUUGCAGUGGUAUUAGCAUUUCUGCAAUAUGCAGAUGAAGAAGCUGAGGACCUGACUCAUUCCCCCAAGAUUGGUAAAAACCUGAAGCCUAGAGUUUCUGGUCUUUUUUACACAAACAAAGGAAAGUUCAGCCAAGAAUGUAGCCAAGACAGAGGAAAGGGGAGCCAAGGGAUGGAGAGAGACAAACACUUGCUGGCAUUGUUUGAAUAUGUGGAUUCAGUCAUGCCUGAAGAUGAGCCUGGACCUGUGCCUUUCCAUGUGUUGCCAUGACUUCAGAGUGGCCACAGAACAAGCCAGGAGCAUGCUUCCUUCCAUUAUGGGAAAAAAAGGUGGGGAGAAGAGGAAGAAAAGCCAACGAGAAGAAAAAUAACCAUCUGUUUACUUGCUGAACAGGACAAGCUGUGGUUUUGCAUGAAAUUUGCAAAAGGAACCAGCAGUAUAGAUAGCAAAAAUGGCAAACACAAUUUGAAUGUUUUGUACAUAUUAACUUUCUCAAUCCUUACAAGUAAGUACUCUGAACUAGGUACUAUUUUCAUCUCCCUUUCAGCCAAGGAAACUGAGGCACAGAGAGUUUAAAUAAUGUGCCCCAAAUAAGUGGUGCUAACACAACUACUGAGUGAUGGAGACUGAAUCCUGUGAAGCUAACAUUUAAAUUAUACCGAUCUUAGAUUUUAGUGGCUUUAAAGUUUUCAGCUUUUUUUUUUUUUCGGUCUUUUUGCCAUUUCUUGGGCCGCUCCUGCGGCAUAUGGAGG